UUGUGGAGGAGGACGCCGAAGGUGGGGCUAAUGACUGGGGUGAAGUCGUAACAAGGUAGCCGUACCGGAAGGUGCGGCUGGAUCACCUCCUAACAGGGAGACAACAAAAUGUUAAAUAUUAAUUUUGUCACCUUAGGUCGAUCGGUAUCUCACAUUCUUAAUUUAUUAAGGAUUUUAUUUCCUAAGUUUUUUCUAGGUCACACCCAUUACUUUUCCUGGGCCAUUAGCUCAGGUGGUUAGAGCGCACCCCUGAUAAGGGUGAGGUCCCUGGUUCAAGUCCAGGAUGGCCCAUAUCUCUAUGUUGGGGGUAUAGCUCAGUUGGUAGAGCGCCUGCUUUGCAAGCAGGAUGUCAGCGGUUCGAGUCCGCUUACCUCCACUGAUUACCACCUCUUCCAUAACGUAAAUAGAGGGAAUUGUUUUGAGUAGUGAUCAAAUCUGAGCGAAUCUAGCUUCCUAAUUUAUUUAAUUAAGAUGCUGGACUCAUUGAAUUAAUUUCAUUGUUUUCAGAGAACCUUGACAACUGCAUAGAUUAUUUUUUAAAGACAAUAAGCAUCUUUAAAUGAUGCAGAUUUAUUAUUUGUGCGAAUGCAUUAAUAACAAUUCUAUUAAGCUGAUGCUUCAAUUAUGAAGUUAUUGGUCAAGCUACAA
rnacentral:misc_RNA from 1 species